rnacentral:rRNA from 1 species
GUCGAGCGGACAGAUGGGAGCUUGCUCCCUGAUGUUAGCGGCGGACGGGUGAGUAACACGUGGGUAACCUGCCUGUAAGACUGGGAUAACUCCGGGAAACCGGGGCUAAUACCGGAUGCUUGUUUGAACCGCAUGGUUCAAACAUAAAAGGUGGCUUCGGCUACCACUUACAGAUGGACCCGCGGCGCAUUAGCUAGUUGGUGAGGUAACGGCUCACCAAGGCGACGAUGCGUAGCCGACCUGAGAGGGUGAUCGGCCACACUGGGACUGAGACACGGCCCAGACUCCUACGGGAGGCAGCAGUAGGGAAUCUUCCGCAAUGGACGAAAGUCUGACGGAGCAACGCCGCGUGAGUGAUGAAGGUUUUCGGAUCGUAAAGCUCUGUUGUUAGGGAAGAACAAGUGCCGUUCAAAUAGGGCGGCACCUUGACGGUACCUAACCAGAAAGCCACGGCUAACUACGUGCCAGCAGCCGCGGUAAUACGUAGGUGGCAAGCGUUGUCCGGAAUUAUUGGGCGUAAAGGGCUCGCAGGCGGUUUCUUAAGUCUGAUGUGAAAGCCCCCGGCUCAACCGGGGAGGGUCAUUGGAAACUGGGGAACUUGAGUGCAGAAGAGGAGAGUGGAAUUCCACGUGUAGCGGUGAAAUGCGUAGAGAUGUGGAGGAACACCAGUGGCGAAGGCGACUCUCUGGUCUGUAACUGACGCUGAGGAGCGAAAGCGUGGGGAGCGAACAGGAUUAGAUACCCUGGUAGUCCACGCCGUAAACGAUGAGUGCUAAGUGUUAGGGGGGUUUCCGCCCCUUAGUGCUGCAGCUAACGCAUUAAGCACUCCGCCUGGGGAGUACGGUCGCAAGACUGAAACUCAAAAGGAAUUGACGGGGGCCCGCACAAGCGGUGGAGCAUGUGGUUUAAUUCGAAGCACGCGAAGAACCUUACCAGUCUUGACAUCCUCUGACAUUCCUAGAGAUAGACGUCCCCUUCGGGGG